UGGCGAACGGGUGAGUAACACGUGAGCAACCUGCCCCUGACUCUGGGAUAAGCGCUGGAAACGGCGUCUAAUACUGGAUAUGUGACGUGACCGCAUGGUCUGCGUCUGGAAAGAAUUUCGGUUGGGGAUGGGCUCGCGGCCUAUCAGCUUGUUGGUGAGGUAAUGGCUCACCAAGGCGUCGACGGGUAGCCGGCCUGAGAGGGUGACCGGCCACACUGGGACUGAGACACGGCCCAGACUCCUACGGGAGGCAGCAGUGGGGAAUAUUGCACAAUGGGCGCAAGCCUGAUGCAGCAACGCCGCGUGAGGGACGACGGCCUUCGGGUUGUAAACCUCUUUUAGCAGGGAAGAAGCGAAAGUGACGGUACCUGCAGAAAAAGCGCCGGCUAACUACGUGCCAGCAGCCGCGGUAAUACAUAGGGCGCAAGCGUUAUCCGGAAUUAUUGGGCGUAAAGAGCUCGUAGGCGGUUUGUCGCGUCUGCUGUGAAAUCCGGAGGCUCGACCUCCGGCCUGCAGUGGGUACGGGCAGACUAGAGUGCGGUAGGGGAGAUUG
rnacentral:rRNA from 1 species